rnacentral:rRNA from 1 species
AUUGAACGCUGGCGGCAUGCUUUACACAUGCAAGUCGAGCGGUAACAGGCCGCAAGGUGCUGACGAGUGGCGAACGGGUGAGUAAUGCAUCGGAACGUGCCCAGUCGUGGGGGAUAACUACUCGAAAGAGUAGCUAAUACCGCAUACGAACUAUGGAUGAAAGCGGGGGACCGUAAGGCCUCGCGCGAUUGGAGCGGCCGAUGUCAGAUUAGGUAGUUGGUGGGGUAAAGGCUCACCAAGCCAACGAUCUGUAGCUGGUCUGAGAGGACGACCAGCCACACUGGGACUGAGACACGGCCCAGACUCCUACGGGAGGCAGCAGUGGGGAAUUUUGGACAAUGGGCGCAAGCCUGAUCCAGCAAUGCCGCGUGCAGGAAGAAGGCCUUCGGGUUGUAAACUGCUUUUGUACGGAACGAAACGGCUCUGGUUAAUACCCGGGGCUAAUGACGGUACCGUAAGAAUAAGCACCGGCUAACUACGUG